ACAGGCAUUGGAGUCUGCCACACGCAGUUUGGUGAUGGAUUAAUUCAGCAGCACCUACAGAGAAGUGGAGACAGAUCUAAAUACGGCUUUAGCUCUGACUGCAGGGGACAUGGAGGGGGGUUCAUGCAGAAACAUUUCCUUUAAGUUAAAGACACGGCCUGAGAGGCAAAGCAGAAAGGAUGUCUUCGAUUUUCAGGAGAGCCGCACUGACCAGGCUGCUCUUCAUGAAAACUGUUCAGCAAAACCAAAGGGAAACCAUCUACAGCAAACCGCCGAAGGAAAAGAUCAGCCCAGAGCAGUCUGCCUUUGCCCUGUGUGUGUUUGGGGCGGCCUUGUUGGUGCCGGCUGGAUGGAUUCUGUAUCAUGUCCCAGAAUACCGGCAGAGAUCGACUCCCUGAGAUCCGGAGGAAACCAAAUAAACAUCAAAUUAUUCUGAUUCAAACAGACUCUCUGGUUAAUCUGUGUUUAAAAUCUGUCUCAUUUUAAGUUACUGUUUCUCAGGACUUUUGUUUGUGAAAGUGGUUAAAAAAUAAACUUACACAGAUUCAGACAGAAGUUUGCUAAAGUUUUUUAUUUACAUGUUAUGGACAUUUUGUGUUGUUUAAGUUGACAUUUAGUUGUGUCUAGUCAAAGUAUAGUUUUAGAAAUCUAGAAUGUAAUUACAGAUAGUCAGAAGAAACAGAUUUUAUGAUAAAACUGCCUUCCAUAAGUCACCAGUUAUAACAUUUUUCUUCUUUGUGUUUUUUUUUUCAGAUUAAAUGUUUUUUCAUUAUCUGUGAAUUUACUUUUCAUUCGCUCCAUAAAUGUGUUUUAUUUCACCCAAUAUUGAACAUCUUUCCUGGAUUACAUGUCUUUAUUUUAAACUUUACAGA